rnacentral:SRP_RNA from 1 species
GCUGGGCGUGGUGGCGCAUGCCUGUAAUCCCAGCUACUCAGGAGGCUGAGGCAGGAGAAUCACUUGAACCCAGGAGGCAGAGGUUGCAGUGAGCUGAGAUCACGCCACUGCACUUCAGCCUGUGCAACAGAGCAAGACCCUGUCUCAA